rnacentral:lncRNA from 1 species
AGCUAGCACCUCGGGGAGACUAGGAAGCUUUGAUCGGUUCUCUACUUCAUGUGGAUAUUCGUAGAGGCCGGACGCGUGUGCGGCUUCAAGCAAACCUUCAUCCUAAACUACGAACUUCAGUUUGCGGUGAUCAUCUAUUCGCACAAGGUGAAGAUCUGAUCUUCCUAAUUGUUUUAAAAGUUUUUAAUCCUAAUUUAUCUACGAACGAUUUUGAAUAACGUUCAUGAGAUGAACGUUGAUCCCACGCAUGCCACUUCCGCUGCCAUCUGAAUUUUUUAAAUUUUCUGCAGCAUGGGCGGGUUCCCAACAAUAGGUUCCAUCCAAAUUUCUCAUACAAGCAAAAUGAACCUAUUCAGCAUCAAGGUGGUCUAUCAGGUUUUCAGAACAACUUUUCCAAAAUAGGUCCAUCACAGAACCAACCUUUGGUUCCAUCUGUACCUCCUUAUAAUGUCCCUAUCCGACAGCAACCUUCACCAUUAGAAACCAUGAUGGCUAAUAUGAUGAAACAACAACAAGAUUUUAUCAAGCAACAACAACAGACUAAUACAGCCUAA